AUCGCCGGCUAAGGCCCCUAAGCGUGUGCUAAGUGGGAAAGGAUGUGCGGUCGCGUUGACAACCAGGAGGUUGGCUUAGAAGCAGCCAUCCUUGAAAGAGUGCGUAAUAGCUCACUGGUCAAGUGAUCGUGCGCCGACAAUGUAGCGGGGCUCAAGCACACCGCCGAAGCCGCGGAUCCUCAACAUGUACCCUGUCAGUUUUUUUGGCCAGGGGUUGGGGGUGGUAGGGGAGCGUUGUGUACUGGGUGAAGCGGCCAAGUGAUUGUGUCGUGGACGGUACGCAAGUGAGAAUGCAGGCAUGAGUAGCGAUACUAGGGUGAGAAACCCUAGCGCCGAAUGACCAAGGGUUCCAGGGCUAGGCUAGUCCGCCCUGGGUGAGUCGGGUCCUAAGGCGAGGCCGACAGGCGUAGUCGAUGGAUAACCGGUUGAUAUUCCGGUACCGGCUGGUAACCGUCAAGUGUUGACUGAAAGGUACUAACCCACGCUAAAAACAUGGCUAGGCGCCUUUUGGGUGUUUGGUUGUGGUUUUGGUUUGGGGACAGGCUUUCUUGGUAGGCAAGCGUGUGGAGUGACGCACAGUGGAAGCCUUCGCGAGGUGAUGGAAUACCCUCGUUUAACCGUGUAGCUUACUGCCCAGGUAAAUCCGGGUGGUUUUAUGUGAGGCGGGAUGAUGACCACUCUUUGGGUGGGAAGUAGGGGUGAUCCUGUGGUGCCGAGAAAAGCUUCGACGCGAGGUUGUUAGCCGCCCGUACCCUAAACCGACACAGGUGGUCGGGCAGAGUAUGCCUAGGCGCACGAGUGAAUCAUGGUUAAGGAACUCGGCAAAAUGCCCCCGUAACUUCGGGAGAAGGGGGGCCUGAUACUUGAUGAAACCGUUUUUUGGCUUUCUAGGGUUGAGGGUCGCAGAGACCAGGGAGAAGCGACUGUUUACUAAAAACACAGGUGCGUGCGAAGCCGUAAGGCGAUGUAUACGUACUGACGCCUGCCCGGUGCUGGAAGGUUAAGAGGAACCGUCAGCUGACUUUUUGUUGGUGAAGCGGUGAAUUUAAGCCCCAGUAAACGGCGGUGGUAACUAUAACCAUCCUAAGGUAGCGAAAUUCCUUGUCGGGUAAGUUCCGACCUGCACGAAUGGCGUAACGACUUCUCUACUGUCUCAACCAUGAACUCGGCGAAAUUGCAUUACGAGUAAAGAUGCUCGUUACGCGCAGAAGGACGGAAAGACCCCGGGACCUUUACUAUAGCUUGGUAUUGGUGCGCGUUAUAGCUUGUGUAGGAUAGGUGGGAGACUGUGAAGUGGUCACGCUAGUGAUUGUGGAGUCGUUGUUGAAAUACCACUCUGGUUAUAGCGUGUGCCUGAACCUUGGCCCGUGAUCCGGGUUAGGGACAGUGCCUGGUGGGUAGUUUAACUGGGGCGGUUGCCUCCUAAAUUGUAACGGAGGCGCUCAAAGGUUCCCUCAUCCUGGUCGGUAACCAGGUGUUGAGUGUAAGUGCACAAGGGAGCUUGACUGCGAGACUGACAGGUCGAGCAGGUACGAAAGUAGGAACUAGUGAUCCGGCGAUCCCGUGUGGGUGGGUCGUCGCUCAACGGAUAAAAGGUACCCCGGGGAUAACAGGCUGAUCCUGCCCAAGAGUCCAUAUCGACGGCAUGGUUUGGCACCUCGAUGUCGGCUCGUCGCAUCCUGGGGCUGGAGCAGGUCCCAAGGGUUGGGCUGUUCGCCCAUUAAAGCGGUACGCGAGCUGGGUUUAGAACGUCGUGAGACAGUUCGGUCCCUAUCCUCUGCGCGCGUUGGAAACUUGAGAAGGGCUGUCCCUAGUACGAGAGGACCGGGACGGACGAACCUCUGGUGUGCCAGUUAUCCUGCCAGGGGUAUGGCUGGUUUGCUACGUUCGGGAUGGGUAACCGCUGAAAGCAUCUAAGCGGGAAACUAGCUUCGAGAUUAGGUUUCCGUCCCCGUUUUGGGGGGGGAGGUUCCCGGUAGAUUACCGGGUUGAUAGGCUAGGAGUGUAGACAUUGUAAAGUGACCAGCUUACUAGUACUAAUUGACCGAUAACUAACAAUA
rnacentral:rRNA from 1 species